AUGGACUUCCAGUUUCCCUUUGUAAAACCAUUUGAUGUGCUUCGUGCAGAAAGCAUGCAAGAACUAGGACGGCUGAUACCGACGGAAAGCCGCAUUGCAGCCCAGACUGUUAGUCGCCAGGUUCGGUCCCAAGAUGUUUCAUGUGGGGUUUUGAUAUGGACAAAGAGUGUCGCUUGAGGACGCGCCAUGCUAUUGUGAGAAGGAAGUCACCCAGCACGGUAUGAAGGAUAAAUGCAUGACAUAAUUCACUCAUUAACAGAGCGAGAGAGAAGAGGUCGAUGAAGGAAAAACAAAGAGGCUGAAGAAUGGGGAACUCAGCUGAAUAUCUCGUCUUUUCACGUCACGGGGCGUUAUCCUGGGAAGGGUGACAUCUACCACCGAGCACAGCGACACCAAG